UACGGGGGGGGCAAGCGUUGUUCGGAAUUACUGGGCGUAAAGGGCUCGUAGGCGGCCAACUAAGUCAGACGUGAAAUCCCUCGGCUUAACCGGGGAACUGCGUCUGAUACUGGAUGGCUUGAAUCCGAGAGAGGGAUGCGGAAUUCCAGGUGUAGCGGUGAAAUGCGUAGAUAUCUGGAGGAACACCGGUGGCGAAGGCGGCAUCCUGGACCGGCAUUGACGCUGAGGAGCGAAAGCCAGGGGAGCAAACAGG
rnacentral:rRNA from 1 species